rnacentral:rRNA from 1 species
GGGUUGUGAGGUUAAGCGACUAAGCGUACACGGUGGAUGCCCUGGCAGUCAGAGGCGAUGAAGGACGUGCUAAUCUGCGAUAAGCGCCGGUAAGGUGAUAUGAACCGUUAUAACCGGCGAUUUCCGAAUGGGGAAACCCAGUGUGACUCGUCACACUAUCAUUAACUGAAUCCAUAGGUUAAUGAGGCGAACCGGGGGAACUGAAACAUCUAAGUACCCCGAGGAAAAGAAAUCAACCGAGAUUCCCCCAGUAGCGGCGAGCGAACGGGGAGGAGCCCAGAGCCUGAAUCAGCAUGUGUGUUAGUGGAAGCGUCUGGAAAGGCGCGCGAUACAGGGUGACAGCCCCGUACACAAAAGCGCAUGUGCUGUGAGCUCGAUGAGUAGGGCGGGACACGUGGUAUCCUGUCUGAAUAUGGGGGGACCAUCCUCCAAGGCUAAAUACUCCUGACUGACCGAUAGUGAACCAGUACCGUGAGGGAAAGGCGAAAAGAACCCCGGCGAGGGGAGUGAAAAAGAACCUGAAACCGUGUACGUACAAGCAGUGGGAGCCCCACCACUAAGCCAGUGGUGAACUCCACAUACGCAUCCUUUGCUGAGGAUACGGUUAACGGAGCGAAAGCGACGUUCAACCGCAAAAGAAGCAGAGGGGGCUUAGUGGUGGGGUGACUGCGUACCUUUUGUAUAAUGGGUCAGCGACUUAUAUUCUGUAGCAAGGUUAACCGAAUAGGGGAGCCGGAGGGAAACCGAGUCUUAAUUGGGCGUUAAGUUGCAGGGUAUAGACCCGAAACCCGGUGAUCUAGCCAUGGGCAGGUUGAAGGUUGGGUAACACUAACUGGAGGACCGAACCGACUAAUGUUGAAAAAUUAGCGGAUGACCUGUGGCUGGGGGUGAAAGGCCAAUCAAACCGGGAGAUAGCUGGUUCUCCCCGAAAGCUAUUUAGGUAGCGCCUCGUGAAUUCAUCUCCGGGGGUAGAGCACUGUUUCGGCUAGGGGGCCAUCCCGGCUUACCAACCCGAUGCAAACUGCGAAUACCGGAGAAUGUUAUCACGGGAGACACACGGCGGGUGCUAACGUCCGUCGUGAAGAGGGAAACAACCCAGACCGCCAGCUAAGGUCCCAAAGUCAUGGUUAAGUGGGAAACGAUGUGGGAAGGCCCAGACAGCCAGGAUGUUGGCUUAGAAGCAGCCAUCAUUUAAAGAAAGCGUAAUAGCUCACUGGUCGAGUCGGCCUGCGCGGAAGAUGUAACGGGGCUAAACCAUGCACCGAAGCUGCGGCAGCGACACUCAGGUGUUGUUGGGUAGGGGAGCGUUCUGUAAGCCUGCGAAGGUGGCCUGUGAGGGUUGCUGGAGGUAUCAGAAGUGCGAAUGCUGACAUAAGUAACGAUAAAGCGGGUGAAAAGCCCGCUCGCCGGAAGACCAAGGGUUCCUGUCCAACGUUAAUCGGGGCAGGGUGAGUCGACCCCUAAGGCGAGGCCGAAAGGCGUAGUCGAUGGGAAACGGGUUAAUAUUCCCGUACUUGGUGUUACUGCGAAGGGGGGACGGAGAAGGCUAUGUUGGCCGGGCGACGGUUGUCCCGGUUUAAGCGUGUAGGUGUGUGUUCCAGGUAAAUCCGGUUCACUUUAACACUGAGGCGUGAUGACGAGGCACUACGGUGCUGAAGCAACAAAUGCCCUGCUUCCAGGAAAAGCCUCUAAGCAUCAGGUAACAUCAAAUCGUACCCCAAACCGACACAGGUGGUCAGGUAGAGAAUACCAAGGCGCUUGAGAGAACUCGGGUGAAGGAACUAGGCAAAAUGGUGCCGUAACUUCGGGAGAAGGCACGCUGACACGUAGGUGAAGUGAUUUACUCAUGGAGCUGAAGUCAGUCGAAGAUACCAGCUGGCUGCAACUGUUUAUUAAAAACACAGCACUGUGCAAACACGAAAGUGGACGUAUACGGUGUGACGCCUGCCCGGUGCCGGAAGGUUAAUUGAUGGGGUCAGCGCAAGCGAAGCUCCUGAUCGAAGCCCCGGUAAACGGCGGCCGUAACUAUAACGGUCCUAAGGUAGCGAAAUUCCUUGUCGGGUAAGUUCCGACCUGCACGAAUGGCGUAAUGAUGGCCAGGCUGUCUCCACCCGAGACUCAGUGAAAUUGAACUCGCUGUGAAGAUGCAGUGUACCCGCGGCAAGACGGAAAGACCCCGUGAACCUUUACUAUAGCUUGACACUGAACAUUGAGCCUUGAUGUGUAGGAUAGGUGGGAGGCUUUGAAGUGUGGACGCCAGUCUGCAUGGAGCCGGCCUUGAAAUACCACCCUUUAAUGUUUGAUGUUCUAACGUGGACCCGUAAUCCGGGUUGCGGACAGUGUCUGGUGGGUAGUUUGACUGGGGCGGUCUCCUCCUAAAGAGUAACGGAGGAGCACGAAGGUUGGCUAAUCCUGGUCGGACAUCAGGAGGUUAGUGCAAUGGCAUAAGCCAGCUUGACUGCGAGCGUGACGGCGCGAGCAGGUGCGAAAGCAGGUCAUAGUGAUCCGGUGGUUCUGAAUGGAAGGGCCAUCGCUCAACGGAUAAAAGGUACUCCGGGGAUAACAGGCUGAUACCGCCCAAGAGUUCAUAUCGACGGCGGUGUUUGGCACCUCGAUGUCGGCUCAUCACAUCCUGGGGCUGAAGUAGGUCCCAAGGGUAUGGCUGUUCGCCAUUUAAAGUGGUACGCGAGCUGGGUUUAGAACGUCGUGAGACAGUUCGGUCCCUAUCUGCCGUGGGCGCUGGAGAACUGAGGGGGGCUGCUCCUAGUACGAGAGGACCGGAGUGGACGCAUCACUGGUGUUCGGGUUGUCAUGCCAAUGGCACUGCCCGGUAGCUAAAUGCGGAAGAGAUAAGUGCUGAAAGCAUCUAAGCACGAAACUUGCCCCGAGAUGAGUUCUCCCUGAGACUUUAGGUCUCCUGAAGGAACGUUGAAGACGACGACGUUGAUAGGCCGGGUGUGUAAGCGCAGCGAUGCGUUGAGCUAACCGGUACUAAUGAACCGUGAGGCUUAACCUUACAACGCCGAAG